AGUAGUGUGGAUCUGAGUAGGGAACUUGCGCAUAGGUGAGGAUUAAGGUGAGGGUGUGGGUGCGCAGACCUUAUUCC